rnacentral:lncRNA from 1 species
UUAAACACACCUUAUUAAACAAAUACUGUUGAUGUAUUUAACAUUGAACUCACAUCCAAUAGCACUGCAGCUUAUACACAAACAAAGCUUAUGUAACACACAUUCUGUCCAGAAGGCAUAUUAUAGACUUCUUGCUGUUAGAAACACUAGACAGUACUUUAGUAUUACUCUUGAGGCCAUCAUAAACAGCAACAUGGCCAAGAAAAAAGCACAAAAAUGCAAACAACAUAGCACUAAACAGAUCAUGAAGCGGCAGGAAAUUGCGUUGUUCAGCCUCAGAUGGAAACAUGCAUCAAGUAACUCAAAUUUAUCACCACAAUGUACAUGUCCACAGAUGGCUGCAGAAACACCACAAGCAUUAUUUGGGGGUUACAAAUAAAUUUUAGUAAGUAGGUAAAUUUGCAAAUAGGAAAUCUAUGAAUAAUGAGCCGUAGAUAUGUACACACACACAAUCAUUAUACUCACUUUACAGAGAAGGACACAGAGGCUCAGAGAGGCCCACUGACCUGCUCACUGCUGUAUAGCUCCUAAGUGGCAGGAUUUGAACCGAGGGUCAUUCCUCCCAGAUUUCCCGCCUUCAAAGACGGAUGUUUGGAUCUUUUCCAUCAUUCCUGGUCCUCCUUUUAUGAACCCCAAAGAGCUCAGUGUUGUGUCACAUAGGAUUUGAAAGAAUCAGAAGACCCAGGCUUGAGAGCCAGCCUGACCCUCAGUUUUCCCGUCUGUAAAUGGAGAUAACAGCUCCUUCCUCACCUGAGGGUUGUCAGGAUGCUAAUGAACCUGCAGGUGUUUGAAGUGUGAGUUACUGACUUUACUUCGCCUGCAAACAGGCCUUUCCCAUUAAAGCUAAUGCUUCCAUUCCGGUGCUAUCCCACUGAGCAGACUGGGAUAGGUCCUGGCCCUCCCCCAGCUGGAACUGAGAGCCCUUUCCUGGCAGGCCUGGGGCUGUGAGAGGAGCCUAUGAGCACACUCCGGAAAAGGAUGCUCGUGCUUUCUCCAGUGGACAGUAAUCCCUCACAGUCCCUUGCCUUCCUCCAGAGCCCAAGGUUUAUUUUUAGAAACACAAUUUUUUCUCCCUUUUCUUUUUCCUUCCAGGGUCCGAUAGUGCAAAGAUGGCUCCCGUAAGAGGCCCCUGUGCAAGCUGAGCCUGUGGCACUGUGGAAAGACUCCACACUUUGAAGUUAGACAGCACUGUGUCCAAAUGCCAAUGCCGCUAAUAAGUGCAUGACCCUCACUCGCCUGCUUGGACCCUCGGUUUUCUUAUCGCAAAAUGCAAUGAGUAAAAUAGUACCUGCCUAUUGAAGGAUUGAUUGAAGAAUUAAAUGGGUUAAGGUCCUUUGCACUUUGCUGCUCCAAGCAUGUCCUGGGACCAGCAGCAUAGGCAACACCUUUUAGAAAUGCAGGAACUCAGGCCCACCCCAGACCUACUGAAUCAGAAUCUGCUUUUUAACAAGUCCCCAGGAGGCUUUUGGAAGACCAGACUUUGUUAUCUGCAGCCUGGUUUCUUCACCCUCUUUUGCCCAUCACAUUCAUUGAAGGCCCGACUGUAGGAUCAGACUCCACCUACCUUGAAUGUAUAACCAUCAGCGCACAAAAUAAUAGAUGAGGCAUUUGAAGCCCAGAGAUCACACAGCUAAAAAGCGAGGAAUAAGGCACCACUCAGCUUCCAGGAAGUUUGGGUAUACCGGACAGCAAAUGAAUAUCCAGCAGGGAACUGUUAGAGGCCACUGGCAACAGCCGCUGCCCCCUUGACUGGCUUAAUGAAGACUUGGCAUGCAGCAGAAGAGCCAGCAAACAGGACUGACGAGAUGUGCCUGUGCUUGAGCCAUCACCAACAACACCCAGCCAUGCCCUCCCCAUGCUGGUUUUGAUGACAUAAGGCCCACUGAACUUUGAAUGACUAGCUCACCUGGAAAGGCUCUGGCUGCCUCUGAGUGUCAUUGUCACCCUAUUGCCCAUUUCCUGACUCUGUUCCCUUCUCUAGCCCUGCAAGGCACUCAGGCUUCUAGAGGAUCUAGUGAGAUCACCUCGUGAUAUGGUAGGAUUUGUGUCCCCACCCAAAUCUCAUCUUGAAAUGUAAUCCCCAUAGUCCCCAUGGGUCAAGGGAGAGACCAGGUGGAGGUAAUUGAACCGAGGGGGCAGUUUCCCCCAUGGUGUUCUCAUGAUAGUGAGUGAGUUCUCCCAAGACCUGAUGGUUUUAUAAGGGGCUCUUCCACCUUCACUCAGCACUUCUCCUUGUGAAGAAGGUGCCUUGCUUCCCCUUUGCCUUCCGCCAUGAUUGUAAGUGUCCUGAGGCCUCCCCAGCCAUGCUGAACUGUGAGUCAAUUAAAC